CGUUGAGCGAAACAUCGAACAUUGGGAAACCAUACCAUACCAUACCACCAACGACCAACGCAUCACUGACAAGAACGACUUGUGUCGUUGACACUCGCUCCAAAACGCUAAAUUCAGUAACUACUGGUAAAUUUCUUCCGGACGUAACUGCGGAUAUUUUUGUUACCAAUAAUAAUAUUUUCAAUGUUGCUAAAAGAGCUACGCCUGCAAGACCUGUUGAUUCUACGGGAACUGGUUACGGAAAACCAUUAGUCGUCGCCGUUAAUAAAAGAUUGGCUCUGAGGAAAACAGAACUCUCAAGAC